rnacentral:rRNA from 1 species
AGCGUACACGGUGGAUGCCCUGGCAGUCAGAGGCGAUGAAGGACGUGCUAAUCUGCGAUAAGCGUCGGUAAGGUGAUAUGAACCGUUAUAACCGGCGAUUUCCGAAUGGGGAAACCCAGUGUGUUUCGACACACUAUCAUUAACUGAAUCCAUAGGUUAAUGAGGCGAACCGGGGGAACUGAAACAUCUAAGUACCCCGAGGAAAAGAAAUCAACCGAGAUUCCCCCAGUAGCGGCGAGCGAACGGGGAGCAGCCCAGAGCCUGAAUCAGUGUGUGUGUUAGUGGAAGCGUCUGGAAAGGCGCGCGAUACAGGGUGACAGCCCCGUACACAAAAAUGCACAUGCUGUGAGCUCGAUGAGUAGGGCGGGACACGUGGUAUCCUGUCUGAAUAUGGGGGGACCAUCCUCCAAGGCUAAAUACUCCUGACUGACCGAUAGUGAACCAGUACCGUGAGGGAAAGGCGAAAAGAACCCCGGCGAGGGGAGUGAAAAAGAACCUGAAACCGUGUACGUACAAGCAGUGGGAGCACGCUUAGGCGUGUGACUGCGUACCUUUUGUAUAAUGGGUCAGCGACUUAUAUUCUGUAGCAAGGUUAACCGAAUAGGGGAGCCGAAGGGAAACCGAGUCUUAACUGGGCGUUAAGUUGCAGGGUAUAGACCCGAAACCCGGUGAUCUAGCCAUGGGCAGGUUGAAGGUUGGGUAACACUAACUGGAGGACCGAACCGACUAAUGUUGAAAAAUUAGCGGAUGACUUGUGGCUGGGGGUGAAAGGCCAAUCAAACCGGGAGAUAGCUGGUUCUCCCCGAAAGCUAUUUAGGUAGCGCCUCGUGAAUUCAUCUCCGGGGGUAGAGCACUGUUUCGGCAAGGGGGUCAUCCCGACUUACCAACCCGAUGCAAACUGCGAAUACCGGAGAAUGUUAUCACGGGAGACACACGGCGGGUGCUAACGUCCGUCGUGAAGAGGGAAACAACCCAGACCGCCAGCUAAGGUCCCAAAGUCAUGGUUAAGUGGGAAACGAUGUGGGAAGGCCCAGACAGCCAGGAUGUUGGCUUAGAAGCAGCCAUCAUUUAAAGAAAGCGUAAUAGCUCACUGGUCGAGUCGGCCUGCGCGGAAGAUGUAACGGGGCUAAACCAUGCACCGAAGCUGCGGCAGCGACACUGUGUGUUGUUGGGUAGGGGAGCGUUCUGUAAGCCUGUGAAGGUGUACUGUGAGGUAUGCUGGAGGUAUCAGAAGUGCGAAUGCUGACAUAAGUAACGAUAAAGCGGGUGAAAAGCCCGCUCGCCGGAAGACCAAGGGUUCCUGUCCAACGUUAAUCGGGGCAGGGUGAGUCGACCCCUAAGGCGAGGCCGAAAGGCGUAGUCGAUGGGAAACAGGUUAAUAUUCCUGUACUUGGUGUUACUGCGAAGGGGGGACGGAGAAGGCUAUGUUGGCCGGGCGACGGUUGUCCCGGUUUAAGCGUGUAGGCUGGUUUUCCAGGCAAAUCCGGAAAAUCAAGGCUGAGGCGUGAUGACGAGGCACUACGGUGCUGAAGCAACAAAUGCCCUGCUUCCAGGAAAAGCCUCUAAGCAUCAGGUAACAUCAAAUCGUACCCCAAACCGACACAGGUGGUCAGGUAGAGAAUACCAAGGCGCUUGAGAGAACUCGGGUGAAGGAACUAGGCAAAAUGGUGCCGUAACUUCGGGAGAAGGCACGCUGAUAUGUAGGUGAAGUCCCUUGCGGAUGGAGCUGAAAUCAGUCGAAGAUACCAGCUGGCUGCAACUGUUUAUUAAAAACACAGCACUGUGCAAACACGAAAGUGGACGUAUACGGUGUGACGCCUGCCCGGUGCCGGAAGGUUAAUUGAUGGGGUCAGCGCAAGCGAAGCUCUUGAUCGAAGCCCCGGUAAACGGCGGCCGUAACUAUAACGGUCCUAAGGUAGCGAAAUUCCUUGUCGGGUAAGUUCCGACCUGCACGAAUGGCGUAAUGAUGGCCAGGCUGUCUCCACCCGAGACUCAGUGAAAUUGAACUCGCUGUGAAGAUGCAGUGUACCCGCGGCAAGACGGAAAGACCCCGUGAACCUUUACUAUAGCUUGACACUGAACAUUGAGCCUUGAUGUGUAGGAUAGGUGGGAGGCUUUGAAGUGUGGACGCCAGUCUGCAUGGAGCCGACCUUGAAAUACCACCCUUUAAUGUUUGAUGUUCUAACGUGGACCCGUGAUCCGGGUUGCGGACAGUGUCUGGUGGGUAGUUUGACUGGGGCGGUCUCCUCCUAAAGAGUAACGGAGGAGCACGAAGGUUGGCUAAUCCUGGUCGGACAUCAGGAGGUUAGUGCAAUGGCAUAAGCCAGCUUGACUGCGAGCGUGACGGCGCGAGCAGGUGCGAAAGCAGGUCAUAGUGAUCCGGUGGUUCUGAAUGGAAGGGCCAUCGCUCAACGGAUAAAAGGUACUCCGGGGAUAACAGGCUGAUACCGCCCAAGAGUUCAUAUCGACGGCGGUGUUUGGCACCUCGAUGUCGGCUCAUCACAUCCUGGGGCUGAAGUAGGUCCCAAGGGUAUGGCUGUUCGCCAUUUAAAGUGGUACGCGAGCUGGGUUUAGAACGUCGUGAGACAGUUCGGUCCCUAUCUGCCGUGGGCGCUGGAGAACUGAGGGGGGCUGCUCCUAGUACGAGAGGACCGGAGUGGACGCAUCACUGGUGUUCGGGUUGUCAUGCCAAUGGCACUGCCCGGUAGCUAAAUGCGGAAGAGAUAAGUGCUGAAAGCAUCUAAGCACGAAACUUGCCCCGAGAUGAGUUCUCCCUGACUCCUUGA